GUGCCAGCAGCCGCGGUAAUACGUAGGGUCCGAGCGUUGUCCGGAAUUAUUGGGCGUAAAGGGCUCGUAGGCGGUUUGUCGCGUCGGGAGUGAAAACCCAGGGCUUAACUCUGGGCUUGCUUUCGAUACGGGCAGACUUGAGGCAUGCAGGGGAGAAUGGAAUUCCUGGUGUAGCGGUGAAAUGCGCAGAUAUCAGGAGGAACACCGGUGGCGAAGGCGGUUCUCUGGGCAUGUUCUGACGCUGAGGAGCGAAAGUGUGGGGAGCGAACAGGAUUAGAAACCCCGGUAGUCC
rnacentral:rRNA from 1 species